rnacentral:rRNA from 1 species
AUACCCGCAGCCCAAGUGGUGGUCGAUUUUAUUGAGUCUAAAACGUUCGUAGCCGGUUCAUUAAAUCCUUGGGUAAAUCGGAUGGCUUAACUAUCCGAAUUCCGGGGAGACUGGUGAACUUGGGACCGGGAGAGGCAAGAGGUACUUUUGGGGUAGGGGUAAAAUCCUGUAAUCCUAAAAGGACCACCGGUGGCGAAGGCGUCUUGCUAGAACGGAUCCGACGGUGAGGGACGAAGCCCUGGGUCGCAAACGGGAUUAGAUACCCCGGUAGUCCAGGGUGUAAACGCUGCAGACUUGGUGUUGGGGACCCUUCGGGGGUGUUCAGUGCCGGAGAGAAGUUGUUAAGUCUGCUACUUGGGGAGUAUGUCCGCAAGGAUGAAACUUAAAGGAAUUGGCGGGG